rnacentral:lncRNA from 1 species
AUAUAUAUAUAUAUAUAUAUGCGAUAAUUGAAAUACAUGUCAUGCCUCACAACCAUGCAAUAUGAAAAUCAAGCGAUUUAUGCAACCAAUUAGUAGUUCAAUCGAUACUACUUUAAUCCUGCUAUUCAUAGCUCAUCCAAUUGACCUCGAAGUUAUUUCUCUAUUUUAAACUCAUAUCCAUUACAAUUCUGAUCAUAGGGUCUCAUUUACCUUUAUCAACUAUCCACCUGACUCGGUCUCGAGUCAAUCAUUCGCGGAGUACCGCGCAAAGGCAGGCUCGAGGCGAAGGACGUCUCACUUGCACCUCAGCCUUAAGUCCACUCAACUAGGAUAUUAUUACAACUCAUGUCACGCCCCGGGACCGGCGGAGGCCCUCCCGGUAGCGUGCCCAGACCCGCCAUAUGUCUACACAUAUAAGGCGUCUAUAAUAAAAGCGGAAGUAAAGGCAAGCAGUAGAACAAAUAGAAGAAGUGAAAUAACUAACAACUAAUGAUAUCAGAGCGAGUGAAGUUCUAUCAUCUACACCAAAGCAAAGACAAUAAAGCUAGUCAAACAAGAUAACCAUAAGUAGAACACUAUCUAUCUCAAAGGUACAAAAAUGGUGGUCUCUAGUACACUGGUAAAACUCUCAGCCUCUCGCAAAAAGAAAUACAUCGAGAGGUAGACCC